CUAAUUGUCUCUACUAGCCCUCUCUGGACUAGAGAGAUUUUGGAGAGAAUUGCCACGGAAUUUAACCAGUUACAGUUUCAUGCUGUUCAGAGAAAAGGCAUGCCUCUUCUGGACAAAGUAAGACCACGUAUAGCCCACAUUACAGCCAUGCUGCAGCAGUCCCUGGGAGGCCUGUUGCUAGAAGGGCUUCAGACUUCCAAUGUGGACAUCAUACGGCACUGCCUCUGAACUUAAGCUACAUUUGACAAGACACGGGAUGCAGAGGCGUUAGUUGGUCAAGUACUGGUGAAACCGUACAUGGAUGAGGUGAUUGUAGAGCAGAUCGUUGAGUCUCAUCCGGACGGCCUGAAGAUCAUGUAUGCUAAUAAGCUCCUGGAGUUUGUUCCUCACCACUGCCGCCUUCUUCAAGAGG